ACAUCGGUAGCACAGUGGUUAGUGCAGUCUGCUGGAAACAGAAACAUGCGGGUUCAAUUCCCGUCCGAUGUC
rnacentral:tRNA from 1 species